UACGUAGGGCGCGAGCGUUGUCCGGAAUUAUUGGGCGUAAAGAGCUCGUAGGCGGCUUGUUGCGUCUGCUGUGAAAUCCCGGGGCUUAACCCCGGGCGUGCAGUGGAUACGGGCAGGCUGGAGGCAGGCAGGGGAGGAUGGAAUUCCCGGUGUAGCGGUGAAAUGCGCAGAUAUCGGGAGGAACACCGGUGGCGAAGGCGGUUCUCUGGGCCUGUUCUGACGCUGAGGAGCGAAAGCGUGGGGAGCGAACAGG
rnacentral:rRNA from 1 species